rnacentral:rRNA from 1 species
UACGUAGGGGGCAAGCGUUGUCCGGAAUCAUUGGGCGUAAAGCGCGUGUAGGUGGUCUCGCCAGUCAGGUGUGAAAGCCCAGGGCUCAACCCUGGAAGUGCACCUGAUACUACGAGGCUUGAGUUCUGUGGAGGAGAGCGGAAUUCCCGGUGUAGAGGUGAAAUUCGUAGAUAUCGGGAGGAACACCAGUGGCGAAGGCGGCUCUCUGGACAGGUACUGACACUGAGACGCGAAAGCGUGGGUAGCAAACAGG